GAUUUCUGACGAAACUGCUAGCUGGCCCGCCACGCAAGUGUGUGAGUGCCGGCUUGGCGUUUGUCAUCCGUUCGAAUGAUAUGCGUGCUGCCCUUCACUGGGUUGGCGCUGCAUGUUUUCGAUCUUUUACUUUGAAAAAAUUAGAGUGUUUAAAGCAGGCUUGCGCUAUGAAUACAUUAGCAUGGAAUAAUAAUUUAGGACUUUGGUCUUAUUUUGUUGGUUUCUAGGACUAAAGUAAUGAUUGAUAGGGACAGUUGGGGGUGCUAGUAUUCAGCGGCCAGAGGUGAAAUUCUUGGAUUCGCUGAAGACUAACUUAUGCGAAAGCAUU
rnacentral:rRNA from 1 species